GACGAACCGUGCGAACGUUAUUCGGAAUCAUUGGGCUUAAAGGGUGCGUAGGCGGCGCGGUAAGUCGGGUGUGAAAUCUCGGAGCUUAACUCCGAAACUGCAUUCGAUACUGCCGUGCUUGAGGACUGGAGAGGAGACUGGAAUUUACGGUGUAGCGGUGAAAUGCGUAGAUAUCGUAAGGAAGACCAGUGGCGAAGGCGGGUCUCUGGACAGUUCCUGACGCUGAGGCACGAAGGUCAGGGGAGCAAACGGG
rnacentral:rRNA from 1 species